ensembl:antisense_RNA anr-44 ncRNA
UGGUGAUGGUGGUGGAAGAGUUGGAGCUGAAACUACUGUAGAUGCUUGUGAUGUUGACGGCUCGGAGCACGAUGACGAUGAUGGGAUCGCCGGUGAGCCCACCGCUCUAAAAAAACAAAAAUUACGGUAAUUAUUUAAUAUGGAAUAUUUCGCAAAUCGAGUUACGGUUACUAGAAGUCAUAAAUUGAUUUUUUCAGUACUAUUAAACUUUUUGAAAAGUUGUGAUUUCAUAUAGAAAAAUUGUAAUUGAUAUAAAAAAGAAUUCAAGAUCAAAGAAAACUUCCAAUAACUAUAGAAUUGCUAAAUGAAAAUCUACUUGAAUCGAGGUUUUUAUUCGAAAAAACUUGCAAAAAAGAGAAAAACAUUUCAAUACAAACUUUUGCAAACAAAUCUUUGACCGAUAAGAUCAUUGAUAAAAUUAUUGAAUGAAAACACAGUUUUUUAAAAUGAUUAAAAGAUGAAGCAUUGUAAAUGAGAGAAAAACAACAAGAAAUGGUCAGUUUUUGCAUCAAAAACUUGUCUUCUUUCUUCCAUCAACAAUGCGGACAUCCAUUUUGGAGAGUGGGUGACGUUGUCGGGAAAAACUGAAUGAAUGGAAGAGAGGACACCUAAUCGUUAUACACAAUCUUACUACGGUUUUAUGACUUCAUAGAUCAAGAAGAAGAAGAAGAAGCAAGUCAAAUAAGGAUGAAAUGAACAAGAAACCACCGCACUGGGUGGUAUAAAAUUAACGGAAAACAGCUAGGAAACGGAAGAAACUGGAGGAUCUAUGAAAUUCGAGGCGUUGUUGAAUUUCGUGAUGAUGGAAAUGAAGCAUACGUGAAGAGGGAAAUGGAGACACAGGCAUUACCAGCAUCACACGUACUCGCUUCAACGUCGUCUUGUGGUGGCGACACACUCAUGUGUUUCUCUCUCUCUCUCUUUCUCGUUCUCUUACACUUUUCUCCAUCUCUUUUGGAAGUGGACAACAGGAAGACUUUAUGCAGAAAAGUUGCCAGAGGACAAACACGUUGAGAAAGUAGUGUAGGUGCCUAGCAACAACACCAUCAUUGUCGUUUAUUUGUUUCAUUCUCGAUUUCUCUUGGAAAAAGCGCGCCUCGUGGCUUUCCGUCAUGUAUGAUUCUAUCUUUAGCGUAAAUGAGGUCGAAUCGCGAGGAAGGACUGGGGCGAUUCAAAUGCAAAUUGCGAAAAUGUUUGCAAGGAAGUAGGAAGGUGAACUUUUGGACAGAAGGCUUCUUCUUUUAUACAUCGUGCAAAGGUUGAAAUCGGUGCCAGGCAGAACUGAAGUAAAGUACCAAGCACUUUUUGCCACCUGAUGUGUUUUUCAGAAACUAAUGUCUAGUUUCAAAACACACUUAAGCCUCAUCUAUUCAAACCAAAACAUAAUCACCCGGUGUAUCAUCAAAAUAAAGUUUUGCAAACGUAAAAAUAACGUAAUCGUAGCAGUGAUCCUAUAAGUACGAAAAUUGGUAGGUAGGGAAUUUUCUCCGCCGUCCGUCCGAAUUUUUGCAUGUAGAAUUUAUUAAAACUCUAUAAAUGCUUGGGAAUCUUAUUGAUUAACACCUGUUUGGGUUAUGGAAAAGCUGACUAUCAUUUUCCUUAAACACGUGAAAUUCUUGCUGUUUGAAUCAAUAUAAAGGAACAUUCGGAAAAAUUGAAGAAGAAAAGGAACACCGAAAUGGGUGAAAUUUUCUUUUUCUUUUCAUCGUCUUUUAUCUUGUUCUCCGACUGCCCUCUGCCACUUUCCCUCACCAGUGAUCUGUCAGGCGGACAAGGUGGAAACCGAGGGAUUGACAAACACUCUAAGGACACUACGCACAGGAGUGAAGAAGAGUCCGUGAAUACUUAUUAGUUUGUAGGUCAUUUCUACGAAAAAAUACAAACGGUUGGCCACCUCGUGAACCCGAUCUUUGUACAAGAAGUUAAAACAGUCGAAAGUCGAUUUUUGCGUAUGCACAAACGGUUGUUUAUAGUAUAAACACAAACUGAUAACUCUAAGUCACCAUUUUAUCAUGACUAUUCGCUGAAAUUGAUCGUUUUGAUCUAACGAUCCGAAUGAUUACACGAUGAACACCAUUCAAAAUAAAACUGGCGAAAUUAAUUUCAACUGCUUUGAAAUGUGUAAUUGUAGGCUUUCAGCAGAUUUUAACAAUCUAAUGUAGAUCACUUCAAUAUUCUAACACACUAGUCUCAUUCAGCUUUUCCACUGAAGAUCAACGAGAUUUAUAAGAUAUUCACAUGACAGUUUCUGGACAAUAGAACAAGUGAUAACGUCUUUAUUCUAGAUGCCCGUAGUUUGUAGUCUUUAGAGUUUGUCAAAUAGAUGUUGAACAUUUAAUAGGGCGAAAUGGGGAUCAUCGGAACAAUAAUCGAAAGCAAACGGCUGUCAACUUGAAUAGAAAUAUUUUGGCAAUAAGCCAGGUUCUAAAGUACGACAAAAGCCUGCUAGUUCCAUUUUGGAAUCAACACGAUCCUGAUCUAUGCAUUUCUUUUUGAAAAAAUCUUUAUAUAAACAUCGAAAUGAUGAUAGAAAAUGUUGUAGGCCAACACCGAUAACACAUGAGUUUGUGGUAUUUUGCAAGCAGGCAGGCGCACGAAAGAAAAACCGCAAAAAGCGAUGAUAAACCGGAAAGUUUCCGGUGAUGGGGUAUUGAGUUUGCUAUAGCACACAGUUUUCUGUUUUCCCGAAACACAAACACGUGGCGCUUUUGGAUGUUGAAGUGUGCGCUAGCGAAAGAAAAGAAAGGAGAAAUACGUAAAAUGAUACAUUGAGCCUUUGAACUUUCUCGUUGUGUGUGGUUCUCUGUGGUUUUUUUCCUUGCAGAAAAAGAGACGAGACUCAUCAACGCAAAAGUUCUCAUGCAGUCUGGGAAUUUCAAAUUAUGCAGUUAAGCACAAGAUGGGUCAGAGGAGGAAAGCUUUAGUAAAGAGAAAGUCGACGAGUUGGUAAUGAGACGAGAGUUUCCACCUGUUUCGGAUAUACGGAAGAGGCAAAGAAGUAAUAACGGAGAGCCGGCUAGCUUGGAAGGAAUUAUAAACGGAGCCGAUCUACCAAGGCGGGUUAUUUCUGACCCCUUCAAUUUUCCUCCUAUUAUCGGUUUGUUUUGAAGCGCAUCUGCUGUCAUUGAGCGCUGCAAAGCUGUUUCGAUGGUCAGGCGGAACGGACAAUUGGGGAUGGAUGAAGGACUUCGGGCUUUAAACGAUGGACGGAAGACCUAACAAUUUGGUGUUCGACUUUUUAUAUAAUAGCUUGAUUAAGUUGCUAUAUAAAUCCGUUAAAACUU